GUUAAGAUUACUCAGCACACACCAGCUUGAAGAAGCACAGAUAGCCUGAAACAGCCUGUUCCGGUUCUGUCCCCUGCCUCCACCACCCCAUGUGCCUGUACCAUCGAGAUGAUUGAAUAAAUCGACGUUGGAUGCUAUUGAAUCCAUUUCCAUCCCUAGUGAAGGUGAAGAUAGAAGCAAUUUGCUGUUAACAUGAUGUGAUCAUGUUACUGGUGGCCGGAAGAAGCACCCUAGAGAUGAGAAACGGUUGUCACCCAUCCACAAUCCCCAUUUGCCAUGAUGUCUCCCCACUAUGCUGCAACUGUUUUUUGACAAGUAAUAAAGAAGACAUUUUGAUACCGCUGUAUACAUUAUGUAUGUAAGAAGCACCUCUCUGAACCAAGAUAAAUGACUAUGAUAACCCUGUAAGACGCGGACAUUGCAUCAGAAGGGUGGUAACUAUUCGCAACAGCGAUAGUAUUAAUCUAGAAGCCAACAAAAGAAACAUGAAUCUCAUUGAAGGAUACACUUCUAAUAAUAUAGUUUUAACAAUAUAUCCCUAAGAAUGACAUCAGCAUAAUAUUGUUUGUAUGUUUGUAUAGAUAAAGUUUAUGUGAUUAAUAUGAAUCUGAUUCCAAUUCAAGCUAGUCCGUUUGCCAGUGUAUCCAAGCCACCCACCUGAUUGCAGCCAACACGUCUCUUUAAGGUUCUUCCCUGUUUUCCAAGUAUUUCUGUAAUUUUAACUAAUUGAUGACGUAUCAGGUCAUGUGACCUGGCGCUCUUGUAUUUUAACUUGUAUGAUCUGCACAAUAUGUGAGUCUACGAUUAAGCACUUAUGUGUGAAACGCGUCAGACAUUGUCCUCUGUCGAGUGAUCUCUGUGAAUUUUCCAAUAAAAAACAAGCUUUUA